GACGAACGCUGGCGGCGUGCUUAACACAUGCAAGUCGAACGGAAAGGCCCUGCUUUUGUGGGGUGCUCGAGUGGCGAACGGGUGAGUAACACGUGAGUAACCUGCCCUUGACUUUGGGAUAACUUCAGGAAACUGGGGCUAAUACCGGAUAGGAGCUCCUGCUGCAUGGUGGGGGUUGGAAAGUUUCGGCGGUUGGGGAUGGACUCGCGGCUUAUCAGCUUGUUGGUGGGGUAGUGGCUUACCAAGGCUUUGACGGGUAGCCGGCCUGAGAGGGUGACCGGCCACAUUGGGACUGAGAUACGGCCCAGACUCCUACGGUAGGCAGCAGGGGGGAAUAUUGCACAAUGGGCGGAAGCCUGAUGCAGCAACGCCGCGUGCGGGAUGACGGCCUUCGGGUUGUAAACCGCUUUCGCCUGUGACGAAGCGUGAGUGACGGUAAUGGGUAAAGAAGCACCGGCUAACUACGUG
rnacentral:rRNA from 1 species